rnacentral:tRNA from 1 species
GCCUGGCUGGCUCAUUCGGUAGAGCAUGCCACUCCUGAUCUCAGGGUUGUGAGUUCAAGUCCCACGUCGGGCG